CCUACGGGAGGCAGCAGUCGCGAAAACUUUGCAAUACACGAAAGUGUGACAGGGCUAUCCCGAGUGCCAUCCGCUGAGGAAGGCUUUUACCCAGUCUAGAACGCUGGGGGAAUAAGGAGAGGGCAAGUCUGGUGUCAGCCGCCGCGGUAAUACCAGCUCUCCGAGUGGUGUGGAUGUUUAUUGGGCCUAAAGCAUCCGUAGCUGGCUAAGUUAGUCCCCUGUUAAAUCCAACGAAUUAAUCGUUGGAUCGCGGGGGAUACUGCUUGGCUAGGGGACGAGAGAGGCAGACGGUAUUUCCGGGGUAGGGGUGAAAUCCUAUAAUCCCGGGAAGACCACCAGUGGCGAAGGCUGUCUGCUAGAACGCGCCCGACGGUGAGGGAUGAAAGCUGGGGGAGCGAACCGGAUUAGAUACCCCCGUAGUCC
rnacentral:rRNA from 1 species